rfam:Cavia porcellus supercont2_39 genomic scaffold, whole genome shotgun sequence.
GGGGAUUUAGCUCAGCGGCAUAAGCGCCUGCCUUGCAAGCAGGCAUUCAUGAGUUCGAUCCCUUGUACCCA